rnacentral:rRNA from 1 species
AACCCUUUGUGAACGUUACCAUUGUUCUGUUGCCUCGGCGGGUACCGGCCCCUAAAGCCGCGCCCGCCGGCAGCACUAAACUCUUGAACUUUAUAGCGGAUUACACUUCUGAAUAAAAUACAAAACAAAUCAAAACUUUCAACAACGGAUCUCUUGGUUCUGGCAUCGAUGAAGAACGCAGCGAAAUGCGAUAAGUAAUGUGAAUUGCAGAAUUCAGUGAAUCAUCGAAUCUUUGAACGCACAUUGCGCCCGGCAGUAAUCUGCCGGGCAUGCCUGUCCGAGCGUCAUUUCAACCCUCGAGCCUAAGUUUUUCUAAACUAAAGGAUCGGUGUUGGGGCGCUACAGCGGUCUUCGGAUAGCUGUAGGCUCUGAAAUACAGUGGCGGUCCCGUCGCGGCGUCUUCUGCGUAGUAAGCUUAUAAAACUCGCAUUAGGUCCCGGCGAAGGCCAGCCGUCAAACCCUCUAAUUCUUUAUGGU